rnacentral:rRNA from 1 species
UGAAUACGAGAUGCUACGGCGUCGAAGCAGUCUAUGUCAUACUUCCAAGAAAAGCUUGCACUGUCAUAAACAAAUAAUGCCUGUACCAUAACCGACACAGGUGGGUAGGUAGAGUAUACUAAGGGGCGCGAGAUAACUCUCUCUAAGGAACUCGGCAAAAUGACUCCGUAACUUCGGGAGAAGGAGUGCCUUAUUUAUAAGGUUGCAAUAACAAGAUCCAAGCAACUGUUUACCAAAAACACAGGUCUCCGCUAAGUCGUAAGACGAUGUAUGGGGGCUGACGCCUGCCCAGUGCCAGAAGGUUAAAGAAGUUGGUUAGCAUCCGCGAAGCUGAUAACUGAAGCCCUGGUGAACGGCGGCCGUAACUAUAACGGUCCUAAGGUAGCGAAAUUCCUUGUCGGGUAAGUUCCGACCCGCACGAAAGGCGUAAUGAUUUGGAUACUGUCUCGGAGAGGGGCUCGGUGAAAUAGACUUGUCUGUGAAGAUGCGGACUACCUGCACCAGGACAGAAAGACCCUAUGAAGCUUUACUGUAACCUGAAAUUGAAAUUGGACUUUACUUGCGCAGUAUAGGUGGGAGGCGUUGAGAAUAUUCUUGCGGGAUUAUUGGAGCCAUCAGUGAGAUACCACUCUUGUAAUGUUAGAUUUCUAACUUUGUAUCAUUAUCUGGUCAAAGAACAGUUUCAGGCGGGCAGUUUGACUGGGGCGGUCGCCUCCUAAACGGUAACGGAGGCGCACAAAGGUUUCCUCUGAACGGGUAGAAAUCGUAUCUAGAGUGUAAAAGCAUAAGGAAGCUUGACUGUGAGACCUACAAGUCGAGCAGGGACGAAAGUCGGUCUUAGUGAUCUGACGGUGCUGAGUGGAAAGGCCGUCACUCAACGGAUAAAAGUUACUCUAAGGAUAACAGGCUGAUCUCCCCCAAGAGUUCACAUCGACGGGGAGGUUUGGCACCUCGAUGUCGGCUCAUCGCAUCCUGGGGCGGUAGUACGUCCCAAGGGUUGGGCUGUUCGCCCAUGAAAGCGGUACGCGAGCUGGGUUCAGAACGUCGUGAGACAGUUCGGUCCAUAUCCGGUGUAGGCGUUAGAAUAUUGAGAGGAGCCUUCUUUAGUACGAGAGGACCGAGAAGGACAUACCUCUGGUGUACCAGUUAUCGUGCCAACGGUAAGCGCUAGGUAGCUAUGUGUGGAGUGGAUAACCGCUGAAAGCAUCUAAGUGGGAAGCCCACCUCAAGAUAAG